GACGAACGCUGGCGGCGCGCUUAACACAUGCAAGUCGAGCGAAGCGGCGGACGGGUGAGUAACAGGUGAGUAACCUGCCCUAGACAUUGGGAUAGCCUCGGGAAACCGGGAUUAAUACCAAAUGGUCUAAGAUUGACUCGCGUCCCAUUAGCUAGUGGGUGAUGUAACGGCCCACCAAGGCGACGAUGGGUAGCCGGCCGGUGAGUGUGAGAGGCCACAAUUGAACUGAGAAACGGGUCAGAAUCUACUGGAGGCCGCAUGGGCGGAUAUUGCGCAAUCGAGGCAGCUCGUAGGCAACGACUCUGUGUGAACGAAUAAGUCUUUUGAGACGUGAUUUGCUGUGAUAUGGGGUUCGUUACCAUAUGAAAAAGCCCCUGCUAACUAUGUGCCAGCAGCCGCGGUAAUAC
rnacentral:rRNA from 1 species